UGGGGUAUCGCCAAGCUGGUAAGGCAUCGGACUUUGACUCCGACAAGAGGUUUACCCUCGACCGCAGGUUCGAGUCCUGCUACCCCAGCCA
rnacentral:tRNA from 2 species